AGAGGAAGUAAAAGUCGUAACAAGGUCUCCGUAGGUGAACCUGCGGAGGGAUCAUUACAAGUGACCCCGGUCUAACCACCGGGAUGUUCAUAACCCUUUGUUGUCCGACUCUGUUGCCUCCGGGGCGACCCUGCCUUCGGGCGGGGGCUCCGGGUGGACACUUCAAACUCUUGCGUAACUUUGCAGUCUGAGUAAACUUAAUUAAUAAAUUAAAACUUUUAACAACGGAUCUCUUGGUUCUGGCAUCGAUGAAGAACGCAGCGAAAUGCGAUAAGUAAUGUGAAUUGCAGAAUUCAGUGAAUCAUCGAAUCUUUGAACGCACAUUGCGCCCCCUGGUAUUCCGGGGGGCAUGCCUGUUCGAGCGUCAUUUCACCACUCAAGCCUCGCUUGGUAUUGGGCAACGCGGUCCGCCGCGUGCCUCAAAUCGACCGGCUGGGUCUUCUGUCCCCUAAGCGUUGUGGAAACUAUUCGCUAAAGGGUGUUCGGGAGGCUACGCCGUAAAACAACCCCAUUUCUAAGGUUGACCUCGGAUCAGGUAGGGAUACCCGCUGAACUUAAGCAUAUCAAUAAGCGGAGGAAAAGAAACCAACAGGGAUUGCUCUAGUAACGGCGAGUGAAGCAGCAAUAGCUCAAAUUUGAAAUCUGGCG
rnacentral:rRNA from 2 species